ACGCGCAGGAGAGAUGACACUG
rnacentral:miRNA from 1 species